rnacentral:rRNA from 1 species
AACCAAUGGCCUCCUGAACGUGCGUUGCACUCUUAGAUUUCCUGAGAGUAUGUCUGCUUCAGUGCUUAA